UUGUCCUUGAUACCUUGAUCCAACUAAUAGAUCUCUAAAUAUCAUAGAAAUCCUAUCCAACUUCAAAUUGCCAACUUCUAAAAUCUUCUUGUACUAAAAAUCAAAUAUCUCUAAACCAUGCCAUUAGAUUAUCAAAAAAAAUUGUAUACACUUAGUACACUCAAUAAUCCAAACAAUAUCAAAUUUUCAACUAUAGAUGUUACUGUAAUUACACGAACUAGCCAAAAUUGCUAGCCCUAGUUACAUUAUAUAAAAUCCAAAUGACUAAUAUAAACCUUGACUUUGAAUAACAAUUGCUAAGUCCUC
rnacentral:lncRNA from 1 species